rnacentral:rRNA from 1 species
UGGGGAAUAUUGCGCAAUGGGGGAAACCCUGACGCAGCGACGCCGCGUGGAGGAAGAAGGCCUUUGGGUUGUAAACUCCUUUGAUCGGGGACGAAGAUGACGGUACCCGAAGAACAAGCCACGGCUCACUACGUGCCAGCAGCCGCGGUAAUACGUAGGUGGCGAGCGUUGUCCGGAAUUACUCGGUGUAAAGGGCGUGUAGGCGGGGUGCCAAGUCAGGUGUGAAAUACCGGGGCUUAACCUCGGGGGUGCAUCUGAAACUGGUGCUCUUGAGUGCCGGAGAGGAAAGCGGAAUGCCCAGUGUAGCGGUGAAAUGCGUAGAUAUUGGGAGGAACACCAGUGGCGAAGGCGGCUUUCUGGACGGUAACUGACGCUGAGGCGCGAAAGCGUGGGGAGCAAACAGG